GAUGAACGCUGGCGGCGUGCCUAAUACAUGCAAGUCGAGCGAACAGACGAGGAGCUUGCUCCUCUGACGUUAGCGGCGGACGGGUGAGUAACACGUGGAUAACCUACCUAUAAGACUGGGAUAACUUCGGGAAACCGGAGCUAAUACCGGAUAAUAUAUUGAACCGCAUGGUUCAAUAGUGAAAGACGGUUUUGCUGUCACUUAUAGAUGGAUCCGCGCCGCAUUAGCUAGUUGGUAAGGUAACGGCUUACCAAGGCAACGAUGCGUAGCCGACCUGAGAGGGUGAUCGGCCACACUGGAACUGAGACACGGUCCAGACUCCUACGGGAGGCAGCAGUAGGGAAUCUUCCGCAAUGGGCGAAAGCCUGACGGAGCAACGCCGCGUGAGUGAUGAAGGUCUUCGGAUCUUAAAGCUCUGUUAUUAGGGAAGAACAAAUGUGUAAGUAACUAUGCACGUCUUGACGGUACCUAAUCAGAAAGCCACGGCUAACUACGUG
rnacentral:rRNA from 1 species